GGAUGGAGUCCUGUGUCGGGCUCCCUGCAUGGAGCCUGCUUCUCCCUCUGCCUGUGUCUCUGCCUCUCUCUCUCUCUCUCUCUCUCUCUCUUUCUCUGUAUGUGUGUGUGUCUCUCAUAAAUAAAUAAAUAAAUAAAAUCUUAAAAAAAUAUAUAUAUUGUUCAAAUUAAUUUGACCUCUUUGUUAUCUUUUAAGUUGGUAACCAUGAAUUCAAAUUUCAUGUGUGGCUUUUUUUUUUUUUUAAGAUUUUACUUAUUUAUUUGAGAGAGAGAGAGACAGAGAGAGCAUGAGCUGGGGGAGGGUCUGAGGGAGAGGGAGAAGCAGACUCUCCACUAGGCAGAGAGCCCAAUGCAGGACUCGAUCCCAAGACCAUGGAUUCAUGACUUGAGCCAAAGGCAGACACUUAACCAACUGAACCAUCCAGGCGCCCCCAUGUGUGGCUUGUAAUAUAAUUUUCCAUUGGCAGUGCUGCAGUCUAAUGUACCUGGCAAUUGCAGGAUUGAAAAGAUCAAGGUUGGAUAGAGGAUUAGAUUUAGAUUCUGUUUAGAUUCCACUGGCAGCUUAAAGCUGAGUGUCCAGCCACCACUGCCAGCCUCUGGGAGUCCUGUGAGCAUUCACUCAUCAGCUUUCUACCCUCUUCCCAGGAACCUGUGCAUCAGAGUUGAAGAGAGGUUACAAGCCAUGCACAUAAGGAAUGGAUUUCACCAAUCAUUCAAACACCCCCUUUUCUGCAUACUCUGCACAAUAUGUCACUCACGUACAGAACCUGUGGAGGCCCUGCUCAGAGAAAGUGGUCCCCAAAUUCCUUGGCCAACUGAGUUCAGCUAGUGGAAAGGUGUUUGAAUG
rnacentral:lncRNA from 12 species